AGUAAUUGAUGGCACAUUAUUCUAGUCAAUUACUUUAUUAGGAAGACGAGCUUAAAAAUUCGUUAUAGGGCAUAUUUGUGAAACCUUUGGUUUCUGCUUCUUACGCCCAGUUUGGGGUGGAUGCUGAAGAUGAAGAAUAUUGGGCGACUCAUAAUGGCAUAUGAAUUACGACCCAGUAUUCGUGGAGAACUAUGUAUUUUUAUAAUACUAUAGAAAGACCUAUAUUUGAUGAAAGUUAGAUAUAGUGUAGCCUGUCUUGAGUGAAAAUAUUGGGAUAGAUGAUCAAGUUUAUAUGAACAGGCCGCUCAUAUAAAUGUGCGUUUUGAAAUUAUUUUUGCAAAAAAGGAUUAAUAAUAAAGUGUUGGUGAGGAAAUCUUCUAGGGUGUAAUUCAAAAUAGGAUUGCAGUGGACACUAAGUGGUAAUCAAGUCGUAUGAAUAGGUAACAUCAUAUUAAUUCUUAUAAUGGGGAACCACAUUUCUGGUAACGGGAAUGUAAGAAUUAGGGAAAUCCUACUUGACCUAAGGUUCAAAGUUUACUAUUUUGAAAGCCAAACAAUUAAU
rnacentral:sRNA from 1 species